rnacentral:lncRNA from 1 species
GCAUGCACCCCAACCCUUUUCCCUCUUCCCUCUCUCGAUUACACACCUGCCACCGGAGAAACUCUGUUCGGCCGGCACCGUUCACCGGCGACCUCUCCGUCGCACACCCAUGAUCUCCUCCUUCUCCACCGGCCAUGAACACAACUCUGCCUCCCUCCUCUCCCCUCGGUUUCACGGCGCGAAGUCCACAGCCGGUCACUGAUAAUACACCGAUAAUGGCCGACAGUGGUCGUGGUGCUGUUUUCUAAGCCGCGACCCAGCCCCGUCUUUCCCUUGUCCUCUCUCUUGACCCCUCUCAGGUCCGGUCAAUGCUGGUUAUCUUUAUGGCGACCCACCGGUAACGGAAUGAUAACGAUGAUGAUGAACUACAGACGAUGAUGACGAUGUUGUGAUGAAUGGUGAAGGAUGACAACGACGGUGGUGACUAUGCCAGGUAAGUUCCAGCUUCGGGUUCGAGUUCGGUUUGGUUUCGGUUCGUUCAGGAUGGUCAGACUCCAGCGGGUUCGUUUCGAAGCGGGUCGGGUUCGACUCAGGUAACCAGUCAGCAGAUUCGGUUCGGAUCUCGUCUGGUUCAGUCUCGGGUCGCACAACCACAUGUUCCUCACCAUUCGGACGUGUUUGAUGGACUAUUAAGCAAGUAACUAACCUUACCGAGCAAACCAAGGUCUAUAUGCUUAUAUUAGUUGCAACUUGCUGUCUGGGAAACUGGAGUGGUCAUGGGUCGAGAUACAUG